rnacentral:rRNA from 1 species
CCUACGGGAGGCAGCAGUGGGGGAUAUUGCACAAUGGGGGGAACCCUGAUGCAGCGACGCCGCGUGGGUGAAGAAGCGCCUCGGCGCGUAAAGCCCUGUCAGCAGGGAAGAAAAUGACGGUACCUGAAGAAGAAGCCCCGGCUAACUACGUGCCAGCAGCCGCGGUAAUACGUAGGGGGCAAGCGUUAUCCGGAUUUACUGGGUGUAACGGGGGCGCAGUCGGCGAUGCAAGCCAGGAGUGAAAGCCCGGGGCCCAACCCCGGGACUGCUCUUGGAACUGCGUGGCUGGAGUGCAGGAGGGGCAGGCGGAAUGCCUGGUGUAGCGGUGAAAUGCGUAGAUAUCAGGAGGAACACCGGUGGCGAAGGCGGCCUGCUGGACUGCAACUGACGUGGAGGCCCGAAAGCGUGGGGAGCAAACAGGAUUAGAUACCCGUGUAGUG